rnacentral:tRNA from 1 species
UCUAAAAUGGCAGAUAGAUGCAUAGGAUUUAAGCUCCUACCAGGAAGAUUGAUCUUCUUUUAGAA